GAGUCCUUAAUGAUCUAAUUUUAAUGAAAUUAUAUGUGUUUCAACCUCAGCGGUUACCGUGUCUUUAAAGAACAGAGAAAUCGCUUUCUGGUGUCACAGAAGGGAUGAACCUACUCUGCAAUCUUGGCACCUUCACACCGCAGAUCAUCAGCCUCGUUAGCUGGGUUUUAGCUGCCAGAUCACUCAUUCCUUCCCUUUCCCAAGGAUGUUUGCAGCCCCCCAGAUGUUAUGAAUGACACUGGAGUUAAAAAUUACUGGAUUUUGCCAGUUUGCUUGCACAGUAAUCAACCCUCAUCUGUGGACUGAAGCUCCCUGUAGGUCCAUUAAGUUCUUCCUUUGUCAGGGAACACACGCAGUGUGUAUGGGGAGGUUGGAGGAGAUGGUGCCUUCACCCUGGAGAAGAAGAGGUGACCCAGCAGCCUUUGUCCACCACAGCAGGAAGGACCAGGUCCUUCUCUAAGGUCCCCUGAGAAAAGACAAGUGACACUUGAAGAAGCUGCAUCAGGGACAAUUUCAACUGUACCUGAGGAUAAAGCUUUUUACCACGAGAGCCGUGCAGCCAUGGAAUGGGAUCUUGUACUGAAGAUAUUCGGAACUCAGUUGGGCAAGGACUGGGCCAAGCAGAGCUGGCAUUGCAGUGAGCUCUACUUUGAACAUGGUUUUGGACUUGGAACCUCUCAAAGUCAUUUCCAACCUCAAUGUUUCAAUGGCUUUCCCCUAGUGAGGGGCUCUGACGUAUGUGGGAUAGUUUAUUGCCUCCUACAGAAGACGUGUAAAAGGGAGAUGGCCCUUGACAAUGAUACAUCUCGCUUGGGCUUCAGCAGCCAAGCAAAUGGUAGGACGAGCUGGUGCAAAAACCUCAGCCUGCCUUCUCUGCACCGGGGCAUGUCGUGUGUGGGACAGUCCUGCACGGAUGGCUUGGUUCAUGUUUUCCAUCAUAAAACAGAUGGGUGUGUGCUGUCCUCCAGCAGCAUGGCAAGAGGUGAGGGAUGCACCCUGGAGGACCAACCUCCUCUUGUCUUCCUUUAUUUUGUGUCACAGCCAAGACAUCAGACACCAACUCAGUGCCGAGCGCUGUUUCUACCCCCCAAAUCCACUUGGGAUUUGUCAGCCAGUGUCACCAAGUCCCUCCGUGGUGCCUGGGGCUGGAUGUGGAGCGGGAGCCUGGCCAAGCAGCUGGGAGGUGGAAUAAAUUGCACCUUAAAGUGAGACCGAGGGGAGGGGAGCUCCUCCUCUGCCCCAAGCUCCUCGGGGUGGUAUCGGAGCCAGGUCGAGCUGCCCUGGUGCUGGGGUGGCCGCGUUUCUUCCCCGGUGCACAGUGUCACAGGGAGGGAAGCUGGACGGCCAACGCCGUCUUUCCCAGAGCGGCCCAGAUUCCCCCUGCACGUAUAGAUACAACUGCGAAAAUUCAGCCCGGCGUUGAGCGUAUUUCCAAUAGAGAGGGGACGUUGCAAGAAGAAGCCUGGCGAAAGGCACUUGGAAGCUGCGCAAGGGUCAGCACCGAGUGGACAGGUACGACUUGGGUGGUUGAGCAUCCUCUUGGAUGUUGGGGAAGCUCCUUGCCUCAUUGUGAGCACUGUUACCUGGAGGUCGUUCCCAUGCCCGGCCAUAAAUUAACUUGGAAAAUCUGUUUCCCCUGUUCAGUCUGAAGGUGAAUGUGUGAAUACUUGUCCAUCUUGAAAAACCCAACUCAAGAUGAACUCUUCCUGAAAAGCAGACACGAGUGAAACAGAUAACACCUGCAUGAUAACACGUGCAGAUUAGCCUCAAAUAUUAUCUCUAAUCACUUGUGUUAGAUUUCACUAUUAAAACAAACAAUAUCCUUAAAAAUGUUAGUAGUGUGACUCAUAUAAAUCUAUUGAUUGGUUCAUAGUGAUUUUUAUUUAACAGGGUUUCAUAACUUAUUUGAAUAAGAGAAUGAGCUUCCAGGUUAUCUGGUUCAGCCUUUAUGAUUGGGAUCAUUAUCAUCAUUCACGUCCCACCCACAGUGGAUACCAACAUCUUCUCCUCCCCAACCCUGCAUGUAGGUGGAGGAAGGUCUCCAUCAGCAUGGUCUGAUGCAUCUCACACCAGGGAGGAAUCCGGGUGCUGUGCAGACAUUGGAGUCUUUCCAAGUACAGAACUUCAAGGAAGAUGUGGGGGCAAUGCCCUCCAGGAGAUGCUUUUCCAAAGGAGGGGCUGAACAUGGCUUCAACGUGAUGAAGGACGUCGUCACCCACCAUGGAUCCUGGCGGGCAGCAGUGCCGAGUGCUGCUGGUGUCAGACACCGAUGGCAUUAAUGCUGCGGGAUACUGCAUGCACAGGGUCAGCCCAACGUUUUAACCUGGAGAGGACCCACCUACAUUGGCAGUUGCAGAGGAACCCUCCUGGAGUUCAGUACAAUCAUGUUCUCCUGGGCCUGGCAGCAAGAGCUCUGGAGAUGGAGCCCCACAGCCCUGCCUUCUCUCCAACCGCUCCUGGAAGCAGCAGAUGCACCUGGCAGGACCUGACUUGACUGCAGUUACAGGGCACCACCCAGGUAACACUCAUGCACCCCACAGGGCCUUUGAAACACGCUGAAGUUAUCUCUGGGGUUUUUUUUCACGCAGUGUGGGCUCUUCUCACCCGUCUGAGUGUGGCUAAUCCAACCCCAGCCAUCCUCAAGCGCUGCCUCCUCCCACUGGACUUCCCAGACAAGGGGUGGUGUGGAGAGGGGGGCUCUUCAACCCAUUAAACAUCUAGAGGUAGGAGUGGCACUGGUCAGGUCCUCAGGUGCUCCUCAAGACCUAGAGAAAUGGAGCAGGUAGAUGAAGCUAGGGAGAAGGUGUCGGCCACAGAGGGCUGUCAGGGCAUGGUCAAGCAGGAUUUGCUGUCACUUGGCAGCCUGUAGUGGGAACACAACCUUGCUGGGGGUCUGAC